rnacentral:lncRNA from 1 species
AUGACCACCCCUUCUGCCUUCAUGGGUAAGAAAAAGAUCACUGUUAAUAAGGACUUUAAGGUACCCAAAGCCUGUUUGUUCACCACCAACAAGGAAAACCACACACUAGGAAACAUCAGUCAUUCUCAGCUACUGAAGGCCCCACAGGUGCAGUUUGCUGGCUACAAAGUCCGUCGCCCCUUGCAGCACAAGACCAUCAUCCAUGUGCAGAGUGCCCUGGACUGCACCCCCAGGAGGCUCCCACCUGUGCCAUCACAGACCUCACCAAGGAACUCUCCCUGCUGGAGGAGCGA